UACGGUGAGGGAAAGGUGAAAAGAACCCCCAGNNNNUAGUGAAAUAGAACGUGAAACCGUGCUGAGCUCCCAAGCAGUGGGAGGGGAAAGUGAUCUCUGACCGCAGCAUGUUGAAGAAUGAGCCGGCGACUCAUAGGCAGUGGCUUGGUUAAGGGAACGGAAUCCACCGGAGUCAUAGCGAAAGCGAGUCUUAAUAGGGUGAUUGUCACUGCUUAUGGAUGCUACUGCAACAAAAGACCU
rnacentral:ncRNA from 1 species